UAACGGGGCGGUCCUCUAUGAGGCCCGUCAUUGUAUUGAGUAAAACUCAAAAUAUUUAACGAAACCAAUUGGAGGGCAAGUCUGGUGCCAGCAGCCGCGGUAAUUCCAGCUCCAAAAGCAUAUAUUAAAGUUGUUGCGGUUAAAAAGCUCGUAGUUGGAUCCAUGACCUCGGAGGGCGGUCCCCCACUGGGUGCGUACUGCUGCUCCGAGUCCUAUCUGUCAGUUUGUCUGUGUUGCCUUUAAUCGGGUGGCACAGGUGACUGACGUGUUUACUUUGAAAAAAUUAGAGUGUUUAAAGCAGGCGUUGAAUGCCAGAAUAGUGGUGCAUGGAAUAAUGGAAUAGGAUCUCGGUUCUAUUUUGUUGGUUCAAGAGCAUGAGAAAAUGAUUAAGAGGGACAGACGGGGGCAUUUGUAUUGCUGCGUUAGAGGUGAAAUUCUUGGAUCGUAGCAAGACAGACUACUGCGAAGGCAUUUGCCAAGAAUGUUUUCAUUAAUCAAGAACGAAAGUUAGAGGUUCGAAGGCGAUCAGAUACCGCCCUAGUUCUAACCGUAAACCAUGUCGACUAGCUAUCUGUCAGCGUUAAUAAUGACCUGACAGGCAGCUACCGGAAACGAAAGUUUCUCGAUUCCGGGGGUAGUAUGGUUGCAAAGCUGAAACUUAAAGGAAUUGACGGAAGGGCACCACCAGGAGUGGAGCCUGCGGCUUAAUUUGACCCAACACGGGAAAACUCACCCGGCCCGGACACCGUAAGGAUUGACAGAUUAAUAGCUCUUUCUCGAUUUGGUGAUUGGUGGUGCAUGGCCGUUCUUAGUUGGUGGAGCGAUUUGUCUGUUAAUUCCGAUAACGAACGAGAUUCUAACUUACUAACUAGUUCCACGAUCCCUGUGGUCCUAAAUACUUCUUAGAGGGAAAACCGGCAUUUAGUCGAACGAGAUUGAGCAAUAACAGGUCUGUGAUGCCCUUAGAUGUCCGGGGCUGCACGCGUGCUACACUGAAGGAAUCAGCGUGUUUUUCCCUUGCCUGUAAUGGCUGGGUAACCGACUGAAUCUCCUUCGUGUUAGGGAUAGAUCAUUGAAACUAGUGAUCUUCAACUUGGAAUUCCUGGUACGUUUGAGUCAUAAGCUCAAGCAGAUUACGUCCCUGCCCUUUGUACACACCGCCCGUCUCUACUACCGACUGGCAAUAUCUUUGAGACACUUGGAGCGGCCGUGAGCUACCCUAACCGGUAACUCACGGCUGCGAAAAGGUU
rnacentral:rRNA from 1 species